rnacentral:lncRNA from 1 species
AAAAAAUCAACAAGCUCGACAAAUGAUUCUUGAAUUGUUCAUGCUAAUUAGAUUAUUUUGUCACUCAUAGGUCUAAUGUUUUUUUAGAGGACUCGUUGUGUCUCAUGUUUAACCGAAUUAAGAUUUAUCAUGAUUUUAUAAAAAUUAUAAAGUUUGAGUUUGUGCUUAUGGCCAAAAGAAAAAAAUUAGGGGAAAAUAAAAAGGGUUUGAAUCUACCAAAAACAAGAAGGUAUUGUUUGAUUAUGAAUUAAUGAUGAUAAAUAUGUUUCUUAAUUAGGUGAUAGAGAAUAUUUGAUGUAUGUUAAUUAAUUUGGUGAUAGUUUUAAGCCUUUGGAUUAAAUGAAAUGAAUGGAUAAGAUUUGGU